GGGAUUGCCCUAGUAACGGCGAGUGAAGCGGCAACAGCUCAAAUUUGAAAUCUGGCUCUUUCAGGGUCCGAGUUGUAAUUUGCAGAGGGCGCUUUGGCGUUGGCAGCGGUCCAAGUUCUUUGGAACAGGACGUCACAGAGGGUGAGAAUCCCGUACGUGGUCGCUAGCCUUCGCCGUGUAAAGCCCCUUCGACGAGUCGAGUUGUUUGGGAAUGCAGCUCUAAAUGGGAGGUAAAUUUCUUCUAAAGCUAAAUACUGGCCAGAGACCGAUAGCGCACAAGUAGAGUGAUCGAAAGAUGAAAAGCACUUUGGAAAGAGAGUCAAAUAGCACGUGAAAUUGUUGAAAGGGAAGCGCUUGCAGCCAGACUUGCCUGUAGUUGCUUAUCUGGACUUUUGUCCGGUGCACUCUUCUGCGGGCAGGCCAGCAUCAGUUUGGGCGGUUGGAUAAAGGUCUCUGUCAUGUACCUCCUUUCGGGGAGGCCUUAUAGGGGAGACGACAUGCAACCAGCCUGGACUGAGGUCCGCGCAUCUGCUAGGAUGCUGGCGUAAUGGCUGUAAGCGGCCCGUCUUGAAACACGGACCAAGGAGUCUAACAUCUAUGCGAGUGUUUGGGUGUCAAGCCCAGACGCGUAAUGAAAGUGAACGGAGGUGGGAACCCUUUGGGUGCACCAUCGACCGAUCCUGAUGUCUUCGGAUGGAUUUGAGUAAGAGCAUGGCUGUUGGGACCCGAAAGAUGGUGAACUAUGCUUGAAUAGGGUGAAGCCAGAGGAAACUCUGGUGGAGGCUCGCAGCGGUUCUGACGUGCAAAUCGAUCGUCAAAUUUGGGCAUAGGGGCG
rnacentral:rRNA from 3 species